rnacentral:rRNA from 1 species
UGCGCAGGCGGCCAGGUGUGUGAGGCGUGAAAGCCCGGGGCUUAACCCCGGAAUUGCACCUCAAACUACAUGGCUAGAGCAUUGGAGAGGGUAGCGGAAUUCACGGUGUAGCAGUGAAAUGCGUAGAUAUCGUGAGGAACACCAGAGGCGAAGGCGGCUACCUGGACAAUUGCUGACGCUCAGGCACGAAAGCGUGGGGAGCAAAAGGGAUUAGAUACCCCUGUAGUCCACGCCCUAAACGGUGCACACUAGGUCUUGGCGGAUUCGACCCCCCCAGGGCCCAAGCUAACGCGUUAAGUGUGCCGCCUGAGGACUACGGCCGCAAGGCUAAA